rnacentral:tRNA from 1 species
GAGUUUAUAGCUCAGUGGUAGAGUGUGCGUUUAGUAUGCACAAUGUCCUGGGUUCAAUCCCCAGUACCUCCA